GACGUAGGGCGCGAGCGUUGUCCGGAUUUAUUGGGCGUAAAGAGCUCGUAGGCGGCUUGUCGCGUCGUCCGUGAAAACCAGGGGCUCAACCCCUGGCUUGCGGUCGAUACGGGCAGGCUAGAGUUCGGUAGGGGAGACUGGAAUUCCUGGUGUAGCGGUGGAAUGCGCAGAUAUCAGGAGGAACACCGGUGGCGAAGGCGGUUCUCUGGGCAUUACCUGACGCUGAGGAGCGAAAGUGUGGGGAGCGAACAGG
rnacentral:rRNA from 1 species